rnacentral:rRNA from 1 species
GACGGUAUUUCGAACCCACCUAGAGGAGCCUGUCCUAUAAUCGACAAUACACGAUCCACCCAACCACCUUUUGCCCUAAGCAGCCUGUAUACCGCCGUCGCAAGCUUAGCCCAUGAGGGACAAGCACUCAGCACAAUAACUCGCUCCUGAGCUAGAACGUCAGGUCAAGGUGCAGCCGAUAAGGUGGCAGAGAUUGGCUACAUUUUCUACACUAUAGAAAUGGGUCACGGAGAGGCCUGUGAAACCAGGACUGUCAAAGACGGAUUUAGCAGUAAAUUAGGAGAAGAGUGCCUAAUUGAAGAUGGCCCCGAAAUAUGUACACACCGCCCGUCACCCUCCUCGAAUUAAACCAGAUUUUGCUACAUAACGCACAUAGAACCCGAUGAGAUGAGGAAAGUCGUAACAAGGUAAGCGUACCGGAAGGUGUGCUUGGAACAUCAAAAUGUAGCUUAAACCAAAGCAUUCUGCUUACACCUGAAACAUGUUUACUUAAAUAAACCAUUUUGAUUAACCCGCUCUAGCCCUAAAAAUUAACCAAAAUAAAAUUAACCACACCAAACCAAAACAUUUUUAUGCCCAAGUAUCG